rnacentral:misc_RNA from 1 species
GAUGAAGAACGCAGCGAAAUGCGAUAAGUAAUGUGAAUUGCAGAAUUCAGUGAAUCAUCGAAUCUCUGAACGCACAUUGCGCCCCCUGGUAUUCCGGGGGGCAUGCCUGUCCGAGCGUCAUUACAACCCUCAAGCUCAGCUUGGUGUUGGGCCCCGCCGCCCCGGCGGGCCCUAAAGUCAGUGGCGGUGCCGUCCGGCUCCGAGCGUAGUAAUUCUUCUCGCUCUGGAGGUCCGGUCGUGUGCUCGCCAGCAACCCCCAAUUUUUUUCAGGUUGACCUCGGAUCAGGUAGGGAUACCCGCUGAACUUAAGCAUAUCAAUAAGCGGAGGA